UAAAACACUGGUUCUCAUAUGAUCACCAAAGUUAAGCAACAUUGAGCUUGGUCAGUACAUAGAUGAGUGACUGCUUAGGAAUACCAGGUUCUGUA